rnacentral:rRNA from 14 species
AUGAAGGACGUGGCACGCUGCGAAAAGCCACGGGGAGCUGCGAGCAAGCAUUGAUCCGUGGACAUCCGAAUGGGGAAACCCGGCCCUUUAGGGUCAUCCUUAACUGAAUACAUAGGUUAAGGAAGCGAACCCGGCGAACUGAAACAUCUCAUUAGCCGGAGGAAAGGAAAUCAACCGAUACUCCGUUAGUAGUGGCGAGCGAACGCGGACCAGGCCAGUGGCCGUUGCGUAAGAACCGGAACCGUCUGGAAAGUCGGGCCAUAGCGGGUGAUAGCCCCGUACGGGUAGAAAGCGCGGCGGUCCUCGAGUAGGGCGGGACACGUGAAAUCCUGUCUGAACAUGGGGGGACCAUCCUCCAAGCCUAAGUACUCCUUAUCGACCGAUAGUGAACAAGUACCGUGAGGGAAAGGUGAAAAGCACCCCAACGAGGGGAGUGAAACAGUUCCUGAAACCAGAUGCCUACAAUCAGUUGGAGCCCUUCGGGGUGACAGCGUACCUUUUGUAUAAUGGGUCAGCGAGUUACUUUUACUGGCAAGGUUAACCGUAUAGGGGAGCCGUAGGGAAACCGAGUCUUAAUAGGGC